rnacentral:rRNA from 1 species
UACGUAGGUGACCAGCGUUGUCCGGAUUUACUUGGCGUAAAGAGCGCGCAGGCGGUCGUUCAAGUCGAGUGUGAAAGCCCCCGGCUCAACUGGGGAGGGUCAUUCGAUACUGAUCGACUCGAAGGCAGGAGAGGGAAGUGGAAUUCCCGGUGUAGUGGUGAAAUGCGUAGAUAUCGGGAGGAACACCAGUGGCGAAGGCGACUUCCUGGCCUGUUCUUGACGCUGAGGCGCGAAAGCUAGGGGAGCAAACGGG